GAGAAGUUGACAAGACCUGCUAACUCUUUAAUCUGGCAUUAAACUACCAGCCUUCUCU
rnacentral:tRNA from 1 species